GAUGAACGCUGACAGAAUGCUUAACACAUGCAAGUCUUUGGCGAAGCUGUGCUUGCACAGCCUAGCCAAGGCGGACGGGUGAGUAACGCGUAAGGAACUUGCCCUGCAGUCAGGGAUAACAGACGGAAACGACUGAUAAGACCUGGUAAAGUCAGACGGACUCAUGUCCAGCCUGAUGAAAAGGGAUGCUGCAGGAGAGCCUUGCGUCCUAUUAGCUUGUUGGUGGGGUAACGGCCCACCAAGGCGAUGAUAGGUAGCCGGCCUGAGAGGGUGGACGGCCACAAGGGGACUGAGAUACGGCCCUUACUCCUACGGGAGGCAGCAGUGGGGAAUAUUGGACAAUGGGGGCAACGCUGAUCCAGCAAUUCUGUGUGCACGAUGAAGGUUUUCGGAUUGUAAAGUGCUUUCAGCAGGGAAGAAAAAAAUGACGGUACCUGCAGAAGAAGCGACGGCUAAAUACGUG
rnacentral:rRNA from 1 species